AUGCACGCUGGCGGCGUGCUUAACACAUGCAAGUCGAACGAAGCACUUUAACCUGAUUCUUCGGAUGAAGGUUUUUGUGACUGAGUGGCGGACGGGUGAGUAACGCGUGGGUAACCUGCCUCAUACAGGGGGAUAACAGUUAGAAAUGACUGCUAAUACCGCAUAAGACCACAGAGCCGCAUGGCUCGGUGGGAAAAACUCCGGUGGUAUGAGAUGGACCCGCGUCUGAUUAGGUAGUUGGUGGGGUAACGGCCUACCAAGCCAACGAUCAGUAGCCGACCUGAGAGGGUGACCGGCCACAUUGGGACUGAGACACGGCCCAAACUCCUACGGGAGGCAGCAGUGGGGAAUAUUGCACAAUGGGGGAAACCCUGAUGCAGCGACGCCGCGUGAGCGAAGAAGUAUUUCGGUAUGUAAAGCUCUAUCAGCAGGGAAGAAAAUGACGGUACCUGACUAAGAAGCACCGGCUAAAUACGUG
rnacentral:rRNA from 1 species